rnacentral:rRNA from 1 species
AGUGAACGCUGGCGGCAGGCCUAACACAUGCAAGUCGAGCGGCAGCGCGGGGGCAACCCUGGCGGCGAGCGGCGGACGGGUGAGGAAUGCAUCGGAAUCUACCUCGUUGUGGGGGAUAACGUAGGGAAACUUACGCUAAUACCGCAUGAGACCGAGAGGUGAAAGUGGGGGACCCGCGAGGGCCUCACGCGAUGAGAUGAGCCGAUGCCGGAUUAGCUAGUUGGCGGGGUAAAGGCCCACCAAGGCGACGAUCCGUAGCUGGUCUGAGAGGAUGAUCAGCCACACUGGAACUGAGACACGGUCCAGACUCCUACGGGAGGCAGCAGUGGGGAAUAUUGGACAAUGGGCGCAAGCCUGAUCCAGCCAUGCCGCGUGUGUGAAGAAGGCCU